rnacentral:rRNA from 1 species
UACGUAGGGGGCUAGCGUUGUCCGGAAUCAUUGGGCGUAAAGCGCGUGUAGGCGGCUCGGUAAGUCCGCUGUGAAAGUCGGGGGCUCAACCCUCGGAUGCCGGUGGAUACUGUCGGGCUAGAGUACGGAAGAGGCGAGUGGAAUUCCCGGUGUAGCGGUGAAAUGCGCAGAUAUCGGGAGGAACACCAAUUGCGAAGGCAGCUCGCUGGGACGUUACUGACGCUGAGGAGCGAAAGCGUGGGGAGCGAACAGG